GAAUGUCUCAGUAACUAGACCAAAACACGGGAAAGUGGAUUUUCCCUGCUGGUGUUUGAGGGGACCCUCCUGAAUUCCUUUUGCAAGGAUUUUUACAAUUAUCCUUCUCAUUAGCAUCAUGGACACAAAUGCCCAAGCCAAGAGGCCGCAGAGUUGGUUCUUUUGCUUUCCCAUUUUCAUCACAGAUCUUAUCCCCCUAAAAACUGAGAUAACAGAUCUGCUCUUUUAUUCACAGUCCAGGAUCCGGACAUCCAGACUUUCCCACAACAUCAUUAAGAUGGCAUCACUUUCUACAGCUAGGGCUCCUCAGAUGAGGGCUUCUGAGAUUUAGAUGUGUUGCUUUUCUCUUUUCCCUCCCAGUAGGAGCAAGCUGGUGGAAAAUGAGUCACAGCUCUACCGGGAAACUCCUCUGAUAUUGAAGCAACGGCUGAGAGACAGACUGGACGCCACAGUCUUCCCUAGGAAACUAUUGCUCUGGUGACUGUUCCUGUGGCCUGCAUCCUCACGCUGUUAACAUCUCUCAGGCUCAAGAUACAACUGCUAACUCUAACCCAUGCCCCUGCCAUUGCCUUCCACUGCCCCCACCAGAGGCCAAACCAACUGAACCACUUGAAUUUAGAAUUGAACCUCCAAAAAUGUGAGGUACUCCCUUCAGUCUGUAGCCUCACCCACCAGGAAGUGUCAGCCAAUCACUGUAGCCCUCUGGAUGCUGUCACCUCUUCCUUCAGGAAACUCUUCCAAGCCAGCGUUCCUCACUCCACCCAACAACAAACUUCCAGGUUAUAAAUUUGAGGUCCAAUUGGGCCAGUGCUGUGGCGCAGUGGAUUAAAGCCCUGGCCUGAAAUAUUGGCAUCCCAUAUGGGCACCAGUUCUAGUCCCGGCUGCUCCUUUUCUGAUCCAGCUCUCUGCUGUGGCCUGGGAAAGCAGUAGAAGAUGGCCCAAGUCCUUGGGCCCCUGCACCCAUGUAGGAGACCCAGAAGAAGCUCCUGGCUCCUGGCUUUGGAUGGGUGCAGAUCUGGCCAUUGUGGCCAUCUGGGGAGUAAGCCAGCAGAUGGAAAACCUUCUCUCUGUCUCUACUUCUCUCUGUGACUGUCUUUCAAAUAAAUA